ensembl:lncRNA
CCAUCUUCCGUCCUUGUCUAAAGGGGGGUUGAAGCGUCUCCCUUUGGCCAUUUCCUGCAGGAAGCUGAAGGUGGCUGAGGCUGGCUCCCUUACCUCUCCAUUGCCUCAUAAGCUCUACACAUCUGGGAAGCCACUCCUCCUCCUUGUUCCUGAUCUUUAAUUCUCAGCCUCUACCAGGAGGGACUCCAGGAGUGCCCACGGUUGUCAUGGAAUCAGAGCCCCCAUCACAGUGGGGAGCAGUGCAGGUCUUCUAGCCCCCUGAGUCAUAGAAUCAGAGCCCCCAUCACAAUGGGGAGGAGUGCGGAUCUUCUAGCCCUCUGAGGGUCCCUGCUACUGGUGCCUUGCACUGCUGCUCCCCAGUGUAUGAGGCAGACGGCCACCAGGUCCCAGCUGAGGAAGCCCCACAAACAGGUCACACAGCACUGAUGGCUCAGAGAGGUGGGCUCCUGGAUGUGAUGCCUGCGGUGGAGCAGUCUUCUUGCAACCAUGAGGCCAAAAGUCACACGGAGGGAAAGUUGUGGAAUUAUGCGUGCUAUGCAGGAAUGUUUUCACACAUGCGUCUGUCCAUGCCCACCUGUGAUGUCCCCACAAACACUCAGACCCUCAACACACAAGCAGGCUUCAGUUUGUCGUUCCACCAAAUGAAAGUUUCACCUCCACAUUCACGUCCACAAAUCCUGGACUUCACUGGCAUGUGGGGAAAGCCAAUCCAUCUGCGUGUAAAAUGUGGAGCAGCUGAGAAAUUCUCAGGCAUCUGAACUAUAAAACACAUUUUCAUUUCACCCUGCAAGGUAAACUAUCUGGAUUCUUUCUGCAAACAGCAACCGAAUCGAGAAAACAAUUCCUGGACCAAGAAAAGCAAGACUAAUUGAAAGACAAAAAGGAUCACUUGACAACUUGGAAGUUUAUUCACUUGAAAGACUGUAAUCAGCUCCCCCACAAGGUCAUUCUGGAACACCAAGGACAGCGCAGACCCCUCCUGGCUCUCCUCAGUAAUGGAUGGAGGCAAUGGUGCAGAUAAUCCAGCCAAAUGCCAAACAACUACUCCUCUUCUCCCCACUCUGACAUCACCAGCAAGAGGGCAGAGGCUUAACCUCAGAGAAGGUGAACCUGAAUGUCUUCACAGGAAGCUAUUGAAAGAUGUGCUUCUAACAACAAGGAUGGGAUGCAGGAAACAGUAGGAGAAAGAAGGGAAGUCUCAGGAUGGUGGAAGAGGAAAGCCACAGGAUGCAGUGGUACAAGGGAACACUCACUCCAGACUGGAGCAGGAGGGCACUGGGCUUCUGGAAAAAGAGGAAAAAGAGGAAAGACUAAAACAAAACAAAAAUCACGCCUGUGCUGCUCAACGAGUAAGCAGAGCAUUAAGGAGAACGUCAUGAUGAUACAUAGAAAACCUGGCAAACGUAAAGUUGAUGCCAUUGUUAACUCCAGAAAAAUGUGGUGAGUAUUUCAGAAAAGAGACAAGCGACUAGAGCACAUCUGGCUCAGCAGUUGACAAUAUUUGUAAAGUUACAAUAAAGAAAACACUUGUUUUUCAUUCAGCAAAAACUACAUGGGGUGGGGAUGGGGAGUGUGUAUACAGAAAGGUAGGAAGUUGGAUAUAAUUAAGUCUUCAUCUGUCUGACUUACCAUGUCUGGAAAUCACAAGAUAAUUUAAAAAACUCAUAAAUCAAGAAAUAGCUGCCCCAAACAAUUGAAAGCAGAAGCUCAGACAGAUAUUUGUACAUCAAUGUUUAUAGCAGCAUUACUCACACAGCCAAACGG